rnacentral:rRNA from 1 species
CGGUAGGCUUAACACAUGCAAGUCGUGCGAGAAAGUAUCUUCGGAUAUGAGUAGAGCGGCGGACGGGUUAGUAACGCGUGGGAAUAUACCCAGUUCUAAGGAAUAGCCACUGGAAACGGUGAGUAAUACCUUAUACGCCCUUCGGGGGAAAGAUUUAUCGGAAUUGGAUUAGCCCGCGUUAGAUUAGAUAGUUGGUGGGGUAAUGGCCUACCAAGUCUACGAUCUAUAGCUGGUUUUAGAGGAUGAUCAGCAACACUGGGACUGAGACACGGCCCAGACUCCUACGGGAGGCAGCAGUGGGGAAUCUUAG